UACGUAGGGUGCGAGCGUUGCCCGGAUUUAUUGGGCGUAAAGGGCGCGUAGGCGGUGAGAUGCGUCCGUUGUGAAAUCGCCCGGCUCAACUGGGCGGGGUCAGCGGAUACGGUCUCACUCGAGCAAGCUAGGGGGCAAUGGAAUUCCUGGUGUAGCGGUGAAAUGCGCAGAUAUCAGGAGGAACACCAAUGGCGAAGGCAGCACUCUGGGACGUGACUGACGCUGAGACGCGAAAGCGUGGGGAGCAAACAGG
rnacentral:rRNA from 1 species